rnacentral:rRNA from 1 species
AUUGAACGCUGGCGGCAGGCCUUACACAUGCAAGUCGAACGAGUGGCGGACGGGUGAGUAAUGUAUGGGCAAGUGCCCGAUAGUGGGGGAUAACUUUUGGACAAGGUAGCUAAUACCGCAUAUUCUUCGAUGUGCCGAGAUGGGAUUAGCUGGUUGGUGGGGUAACGGCUCACCAAGGCGACGAUCUGUAGCUGGUCUGAGAGGAUGAACAGCCACAAUGGAACUGAGACACGGUCCAGACUCCUACGGGAGGCAGAAGUGGGGAAGAUUGGACAAUGGGAGCAAGCCUGAUGCAGCCAUGCCGCGUGUAUGAAGAAGGCCUUCGGGUUGUAAAGGACUUUCGUCAGGGAGGCGUUACCCGAAGAAUAAGCACCGGCUAACGCCGUGCCAGCAGCCGCGGUAAUUC